rnacentral:rRNA from 1 species
CAGUAGCCGCGGUAAUACGGGGGGGGCAAGUGUUAUUCGGAAUGACUGGGCGUAAAGGGCACGUAGGCGGUGAAAAGGGUGGAAAGUGAAAGUCGCCAAAACACUGGCGGGGUACUUUCUUGACCAUUUCACUUGAGUGAGAUAGGGGAGAGUGGAAUUUCGUGUGGAGGGAUCAAAUCCUAAGAUAUACGAAGGAACGCCAACCGCGAAGGCAGCUCUCUGGGUCCCCACUGACGCUGGGGUGCGAAAGCAUGGGGAGCAAACAGGAUCAGAUACCCCAGUAGUCCCUGUCUCUUAUACA